ACCUCUUUCACCAGGGAAGAAGCGAACGUGACCGUACCUGCAAAAGAAGUACCGGUUAACUACAUGCCCCCAGCCGCUGUAAUAGGGGCGGUACGAGCGUUGUCCGGAAGUAUUGGGCGUAAAGAGCUGCUAGGUGGUUGGUCACGUCUGCUGUGGAAAAGCUACGCUCAACGUUUGCCGUGCAUUGGGUACGGGUUGACUAUGGUGCAGGUGGGGAGUCUGGAAUUCCUGGUGUAGCGGUGAAAUGCGCAGAUAUCAGGAGGAACACCGGUGGCGAAGGCGGGACUCUGGGCUGUAACUGACACUGAGGAGCGAAAGCAUGGGGAGCGAACAGGAUUAGAUACCCUGGUAGUCCAUGCCGUAAACGUUGGGCACUAGGUGUGGGGGACAUUCCACGUUCUCCGCGCCGUAACUAACGCAUUAACUGCCCCGCCUGGGGAGUACGGUCGCAAGGCUAAAACUCUAAGGAAUUGACGGGGGCCCGCACAAGCGGCGGAUCAUGCUGAUUAAUUCGAUGCAACGCGAAGAACCUUACCAAGGCUUGACAUACACUGGACCGUUCUGGAAACAGUUCUUCUCUUUGGAGCUGGUGUACAGGUGCUG
rnacentral:rRNA from 1 species